UACGGAAGGGGCAAGCGUUGUUCGGAAUCAUUGGGCGUAAAGGGCGCGUAGGUGGUUCUGUAUGUCUACCGUGAAAGCGUACGGCUCAACCGUAUUUUGUCGGUAGAAACUGCAGGACUUGAGGCUGGGAGGGGCUGGUGGAAUUCCCUGUGUAGCGAUGAAAUGCGUAGAGAUGGGGGAGAACACUCGUGGCGAAGGCGGCCAGCUAGACCAGUUCUGACACUGAGGCGCGACAGCGUGGGGAGCAAACAGG
rnacentral:rRNA from 1 species